GGCCGGGUGGCGCGCAGCUAUGCAAUACCCGAAAGGGGAAAACUGCGGGCGGCCCUACGACCGUGUUCAAGCACCCGGCCGCCUCUCU
rnacentral:ncRNA from 25 species